AAAAUCGUUUUCAAUGUCCAUAGCACAUCUCCAAUCGACUGUCCAGUUUCCACUCUCCAACUCCACUCCAGUCUCUGCCAACCUAGAGCGUUAGCCUCAAAAUCAGUGAUCGACAAUAAUUGAGAAGACUGAGUGAGUGGCGACCAACCGAGAAGAACACAUGAGACUAUGCGACAACAACCGAAAGAAUGAAUGAUUGACGAACGACGAGGAGAGAUGAAACCCAACUGACGGAGCCCAAGAGAUGGAUCGAGAGGACAAACCGCCGACCUACUACAAUGAGAGAAAAUAUCGAACUGAGAAUCGAGCAGAAAUUAAGUUGCAAAACUUCACUCCUCCUUGCCCAAAGUUGUAGAGCAACCAAGUUUAACAAUGGUUGGACAAGAAAUUGCUCCAUUUCUUCUCGCAAAACAGUCAUUGUUACUGAUGAAGAAAUGUAUGGCAACAAACAAAUUAUCAGUAUCACACCUCGUAUUUAUGACUACACCCUCCAAAAUGUUCACAAGCCUCAGGGAUUGGCUAGGGGAAAAGUUCCUUGAGGAACACCCUGAACAGCGAGAAAGUUGUUUUGCUGCAAAUUGCAAUGCCAACAAGAUCAGAUGUUCCUGAAUAUAUGUCCCUUUUAUAAUUUGUUGCUGCCUCUUUCAUAUAUUGUUCUGCUUACAAUACUGUUGUGUCCAAAAUUGCAUAUUAUUAAAAGAUUGCUCUACCUUUUCUGAGCUUAUGGAUUGAUCUUUGC